ensembl:lncRNA novel transcript
UUGGCCACGAUGAUUGGCUUAGGGGAGGUCAUGUGAUCCAACUUAAGCCAGUGAAACUCAGCUCUGGAGCUUCUGUUGAAACUAUAGCUGAAAGACCAGCUUGUCAGUCCUGGUAGCCGUUUUUGCCAUAUUUGCUAUCCUGAGAGGGGAAUUUGCAUGAGAAUGAAGUUGUUCCAGAAGAAAGCAUACAUGAGAGAUGGAGAAGUUGAGAAAUCUGCCCCUGCAUAAUUCAGUUAAACAGAGUCUCAUACUGUUGCCAGGCUGGAGUGCAGUGGCAUGAUCUCGGCUCACUGCAACCUCCGCCUCCCGGGUUCAAGUGAUUCUCCUGCCUCAGCCUCCUGAGUAGCUGGGAUUACAGGUAAUGAAUUUCCCCAGUCCAACUUAUUGAAUAAUCAUUGUCCUGAAGUAGUUAAUGGAUUUGAGUUACAGCUCGGCAAAUUCCACAAAGAAAAUAAAACAGCACAAGGUCCCCACAGAGCGACGGGAGGCAGGAAAGGGGAAGUCCAUGCCACCAGAGGAAUAGUUUCAUUGAACGCUUGAUCUUUGAGCCGAACUCAGAAGGAGCCACCCCUGUAAAGGUCUAUAGGCUGAUUAAACUUGAUGGGUUCUGGAGAUGCCGAGGAAGAGAGGCAGCAUCACCUACUUGCCUGGACUCUAGAUGGGCAGCUGAUCAUCUUGGACAGACUGCUGGAUGCUGUACCCAGGGUGGUCACUCCCAGACACCAUAGAAAAUGAUGGGCCUGAAUGCCAGGAAGAUCUGAGGGUGCCCCACUGUUGAAGUCAGAGAAAGACAGUGCUGUGGAGAGCAGGAAGAACUCAGCGAUGGAAGCUUUUAGGAGUGGAUCAAGUGACAAUGCUAAACAAACCAGCACAGCCAACCUCCUGGUCCAGAGGAUCACACGUGAAUAAGCUGAUCUGAUAUAAGUGAUUCUUUGGACUUUUUCCUGGGAAUUAAGGACAAAGUUAUUCCUGGUUUUGCUGCUGGCUUUGAUUAAAGAACGCAUGGACUAAGGAGGUGCCAGCAGCCGUUUUAAACCACAAGAGGAGCCACUUACAAAGACUCCCUGUGACCCAACUUUAGUCAAGCUCCUCUGAGCUCUCUUUUCACCUAGGCCUUGACCUUGACCCCUGGCUUGUCUUUGGCCUGCCCAGCCGAGUUUUGGUAAGAAUCCUGCUAAAUUACUUCCCACCCUUGAUAUGGCAUCACACUUGAUAUCAAGUUUCUCAACCCUCACUUUCCUGCAAUUAGCAAGAAUCUUGUUAGGCCAGUUUAGCAAGAAUCCCCUACCCCUGAUGUCUCUCCUCUUAGUAAUUUCCAAUCCACUGACACCCUCAUCCUGUUCCUUGGCUAUAAAUCCCCACUUGUCCUUGUUGUACUCAAAUUUGAGCCUGAUCUCUCCCCACU